GACGAACGCUGGCGGCGUGCUUAACACAUGCAAGUCGAGCGGUAAGGCCCUUUCGGGGGUACACGAGCGGCGAACGGGUGAGUAACACGUGGGUGACCUGCCUCUAGCUCUGGGAUAAGCCCGGGAAACUGGGUCUAAUACUGGAUAUGACUCCAUGACGCAUGUUGUGGGGUGGAAAGCCUUGUGCGGCUGAGGAUGGGCCCGCGGCCUAUCAGCUUGUUGGUGGGGUGAUGGCCUACCAAGGCGACGACGGGUAGCCGGCCUGAGAGGGCGACCGGCCACACUGGGACUGAGACACGGCCUAGACUCCUACGGGAGGCAGCAGUGGGGAAUAUUGCACAAUGGGCGAAAGCCUGAUGCAGCGACGCCGCGUGAGGGAUGACGGCCU
rnacentral:rRNA from 1 species